rnacentral:rRNA from 1 species
AUGCAACGCGAAGAACCUUACCUACUCUUGACAUCCAGAGAACUUUCCAGAGAUGGAUUGGUGCCUUCGGGAACUCUGAGACAGGUGCUGCAUGGCUGUCGUCAGCUCGUGUUGUGAAAUGUUGGGUUAAGUCCCGCAACGAGCGCAACCCUUAUCCUUUGUUGCCAGCGGCUAGGCCGGGAACUCAAAGGAGACUGCCAGUGAUAAACUGGAGGAAGGUGGGGAUGACGUCAAGUCAUCAUGGCCCUUACGAGUAGGGCUACACACGUGCUACAAUGGCGCAUACAAAGAGAAGCGACCUCGCGAGAGCAAGCGGACCUCAUAAAGUGCGUCGUANUCCGGAUUGGAGUCUGCAACUCGACUCCAUGAAGUCGGAAUC